UGGGGGCAAGAAGGUGAAGGAGGGCGGGGGGGGCACUGGAGCGCCCGGCGCUGCCUCCACACCCCACUGCGCUGCAUUUCCUCCACCACGUGGAAGAAUCUCGUGCGGGGGGCGCCCACGGGAGGCGGGGGCCCGGGUACCCCCCUGGCCGGGACGCCGCUCCUCGGCCCCCUCCCCCGCGCGGGGCCCGGCCGUCUGCUCCCAGAGGAGGUUCAAGGAGACUGGAGAAUGAAACAUUCUGGAAUGCUUUUAUCCUAAUGAAACCCCUCCAAAGAAUUUGCCGUUUUUUCCUCUGCUCAAUAGCCAGGAUCUGGUUUCAGACCUGCCAGGUAUUCCCUCAGCAACACCUCCCUGCUCAGUGCUUGUCCCCAGAUGACCUCCAUCCUGUUCAUUUCUAUCAUGUUUUAGCUUGAAAAGGGAGAUGAAUGUCUGAAAUGAAAAUCUCAACUGGUUCAGAGAUAAAGAAUAUAAAAUCAGUACUUUGGGAAGGAGCCACAUUAGCCUUCCUCUCUGCAGACCUACUUGCAUUCCAAGAAUAAUUUUCAUCUCUAUCAAAAACAGAACAGAUUGCUCUUAUUGAAGAAAUAGAUGUGGUUAAGGAAUUUUUACACCUGAACAUGAACAAGGAAGUACGUUCAAAGUUCACUGCAGCACUGUCAUACUGUCAUACAGUAGGCUUCACACCCAGCGUGGAACCCAAUGGGGGCUUGAACUCAUGACCUGAAGAUCAAGACCUGAGCUGGUAUCAAGAGUCAGACGCUUAACUGAUUGA